rnacentral:RNase_P_RNA from 1 species
GGAGUGGGCUGGCCGAUCGCUGGGCUGUCAUGGCCUGGAGGAAAGUCCGGACUCCGCAGGGCAUGGUGGUGGGUAACGCCCACCGCUCGCAAGGGUAGGGAAAGUGCCGCAGAAAGUAAACCGCCGUCGUGGUUUGAAGCGAGUGAUCGUUUUAGGUCGCGGGUAAGGGUGAAACGGUGAGGUAAGAGCUCACCAGCAGGCCGGGUGACCGGUCUGGCUUGGCAAACCCCACCAGGAGCAAGACCAAAUAUGGGGGCAGUCAUGCUGGCCGAAAGGCUGGAAUGACGCGGAUCGGCCCGAUCCGUUAUGACCCCCGGGUCGGUCGCUUGAGGUGAUCCGCAAGGCUCAUCCCAGAUUCAUGAUCGGUCCCGAUUUUCUUCAAGAAUUUCGGUGACAAAAUCCGGCUUACAGGCCCACUACUUAC